rnacentral:hammerhead_ribozyme from 1 species
AUCCAACUGAGAAGUCCCAAAUAGGAUAAGACGCACGUCCUGGAU